GCCAUCCCAGCUCAAGUUUAAUGUCAGCAUGAGUACAGACCUCGUAGCUAACUCAGGCAGCCAACUCAGGCCCCUGUGACCAAGGGCUGAACUUUCCCCUACUCUACUUCAGUUCCAGGGAACCCCACCCUGCUUUCGUUCCAAGAAAAACCGCUAUACCUAACCCUGUAAACAGCCCGGCUCCAGCUAAUCAGCUCAUUGCAGGAAAGUCUGGAAUCUUCCCUCUCUGCCCACCCCCCCCCGCCCCACCUCAAGCCUCUGGUAACCGCACAUAAAUACCCCUGCCUUAACUAGACUCGGGGUCCAAGUCCCUACUCCGCUGUGUCGGGUAUACUGAGGCCCAAGCUGAAGCUUGUCGAAUAAACCCCCGUGUGAUGGCAUCGGUGUUGGCUCCUUGGUGGUCUCUCGGAUGCAAAAAGUUGGGCAUAACACCAGUUUGGAAUAUAUUACUCUUCAGUGAAUUUUGACAGAGGCAUAUCCUCCUGCGAUUCCCAACUCCUGGCAAGAUGUAGAAAAGCCCAGCGCCCUGGAAAGUUUCCUGCUGCCUCCUCCGAAUCUGCCCCCUCCUCUGCCUGAGAGGUGACCUCUGUCCCAAGUUUUCCUCAGAAAUGGAGUUGUCUGGUCUUGGCCGUUCUGGAACUUUCGUCUUACAGAACGUGCUCCAGCGCCUGGCUGCUUUGGCUCAGUGUAACAUCCUUGACAUUCAUGGGUGUUUGUGUGUAUAUUAGAGUUUUUUUUUCCUUUCUGUGACUGAGUUGAAUUCCACUGUGUAAAUAAAUCACAGGGUGCCUAUCCAUUUCCCUGUUCUAGGCUGUUUCCAGAUCAAGUUUUUAAAGGUGCUGCCCCCAUCCUGGUCUUUGGGUGGCCCUGCAUUCUCAUUUCCUUGGACAAAUAACCAGGAGUUGGAAUUACUCAGGCAUUGGAUGGGGGUCAUAUUAUUUGCAUUACUGUAACUAUGAGGUUUCGUCCUGAUGGGGUAAAAUCCCCUCUCCAGUUUCUUCCUCUCCCUCCACCUCUAGCACAUUUCAAAUCCACUCAAACUUUUAAAUAACUUAAAAAAAUUUUUUUGAGAUGUAUCACUUUGAUGUAUCACUUUCCUAAAGAUAAUAGUAAUGGGGAAAAAUCUAGCUAAAGAAAUUAAUCACUCUCUUCAAAUUCUCAGAGUUCUUUGUACUGCAGCCCGGGCUUUGUCCCUCAAGGGCCAGUAGACUCACUGUGCCUCCAUUGGCUCACACGGCCCCCACCUCUCUGAGGCCCCACUCCAGCAUGGCCAGUGUUGUUCUGUUCCCACCACAAGUUCUCCCAGUUCCCUGCAUACUCUAUGCUCCACCACGCCUCAGAGCUCAGUGUGUGCCUUUAGCCUGAGGCUCUUUGUGAUUUUUCUUUCUUUCCUUUCUCUCUAAUGCUUCCUCUCUCUCUCUCUCUCUUUCCCUUCCAACAUGCAUUUCUUAAGCUCCUACUAGGUACCUUUCCAGGCCCUUGGGUCACUCACAGCCUGGAGCCAUGCCGGCCAACAGAACUUUCCAGAAUGAUGGAAACACUCAAUUCUGCACGCCUCCCCCCCUGGAUAUUGUGUGGGUCACUGAGCCCUUGAAACAAGGCCAGAGCAAAAGGGGGGCCCAUUCAACAGUAUUUGCUAUUUACUGAUUUCACCGUCACCCUGACACUUGAUUCCAAUGAUCAGAAAGCUUUUCAGGCAGGUUGGUUUUGACUCGGGCCCGGGGAAGGACUUUCUUGAGCUGUAACGCCAUGAGCCCAGAGGCAGAUGUCCUCCUGAUGGAAGGCUGCCCUUUCAUUGGAGCAAAAGGCCACUUGGUCCCAAAGGCUUUGUGUACCGAGCAUGUAAAAGAUUUCAUUGAUAAUUUUUUUCUCUUGGUUCUGUGUUGAAAUGGUAGCAUUUCAGAUAUAUUGGUUAAAUAAAAUAUAGAAUUAAAAUGA